UGUCCAAGAUGACUCAGCCAGUAGAGCAUGAGACUCUUAAUCUUAGGGUUGUGGGUUCAAGCCCCAUGUUGGGUAA